rnacentral:rRNA from 1 species
CGAAGAUCCGGAGCCGUAGCGAAAGCGAGUCCGAAUUGGGCAUUGAGUUGCGCUGAAUAGACCCGAAGCGAAGUGAUCUACCCAUGGCCAAGGCGAAUCCGCCGUAACAGGCGGAGGAGGCCUGAACUGAUGUUAGUUGCAAAUGGCUCGGAUGAGCUGUGGGUAGGGGUGAAAGGCUAAUCAAACUUCGUGAUUGCUGGUUCUCCCCGAAAUAACUAGAGGGUUAGCCUCGUUUCAGCCGUGACGGAGGUAGAGCACUGAAUGAGCUAGGGGCGUUCCAACGCUACCGAACUCAAUCAAACUCCGAAUGCCGUUACUGGACGAACGGGAGUUAGACUACGAGUGCUAAGAUCCGUGGUCAAAAGGGAAAUAGCCCAGACCGUCAGCUAAGGUCCCUAAUCGUGAGCUAAGUGGAAAAGGUUGUAAGAUCGCUCAGACAGCCAGGAGGUUGGCUUAGAAGCAGCCAUCCUUUAAAGAGUGCGUAAUAGCUCACUGGUCGAGCGAUUUUGCGCCGAAAAUGUAACGGG